rnacentral:rRNA from 1 species
GAAUUGUUGAGAGGGAAGCGUUUGGAGGUUGUGGGUGCGCCUAGGCUUAUACGGUUCCACCGAACCGUUGUAUGUGCUAGGUGCUGGUCAACAUGGGUUAGCCUGGCGGGAUAACAGUGGGGGUAGAUACCUCACCAAUGCCGCCGGGUUGACCAAGGCGUGAAUGGCGCUCUGUCCUUCGGGAACUGCGUCAUCAAGAUGUUGGCAGAAGGCCUUCAAACGACCCGUCUUGAAACACGGACCGAGGAGUCUAACAUGUAUGCGAGUUGGUGGGUGGAAAACCCAUGAGCGCAAGUAACCUGACUGGUGGGAUGGCCUGUGCCUGCACCAUCGACCGACCAUGAGCUUCUGCGAAAGGUUUGAGUGCGAGCAUACCUGUUGGGACCCGAAAGAUGGUGAACUAUGCCUGAGCAGGGUGAAGUCAGCGGAAACGCUGAUGGAGGCUCGUAGAUGUGCUGACGUGCAAAUCGCUUUUCGGACUUGGGUAUAGGGGCGAAAGACUAAUCGAACCAUCUACUGGUGGUUAAGAGUAAGGGCGAAACGAAAAGCUCUUGCUAGUGCUGCUCAUAUCCUCAUGCAAUGUUUGUCAGUCAAUGAGGGAGCAGUGCAACACUGUCAAAUUGCCGGGACAUCCCGCACAGACCAAUGGUACCGCUUCCACUCUGAAAGGAGUGGGUUGCACCACGGUGAAAGUCGUGGGUAUGGUAAAAAUCCAUUGGGUAGGGACAAUCGGCAGCCAAGCUCUACAGGCUAGUUCUAGCCUAAGAGUGCAGUUCACAGACUAAAUGGCAGUGGGCUAGUACACACUCUAGCAGUGUGAGCUGGCUUAAGAUAUAGUCGGUCCCCAUCGAAAGGUGGGCUCAUGGGAGGAAGGCUUCACUUGUGAAGCUUGAAAGCCCAUGAGCAGUUCAGUGACACACGCUUGUACUGAACUGGGGUAAACGCUAGUAGCUGGUUCCCUCCGAAGUU